CGAGCAGUCGCAGCAGUGCAGUCACUCAGCCAGCAGCUAUGAAGGUCGUCGCUCUCCUGCUUGUGGUCUGCGCCUCCGUGGCCUGGGCGAAGCCUCUCUGCAUCGGAGGCAUCUGCAUUCCUAACAGUCAGGCCACUGGAGGUGCUUCGGGCACCGUCACCAGUGGCACCAGCAAUACAUUUGGUGGCUCCAGCAGGAUUACGUCCGUCGGCUCCUCUGCGGGGGGAACGGCCAGAGGACCGUGUGCAAGCAGCUUCAACAGUGGAAAAGCCACCAGCUUUAGCUCACAGACUAUUUUGGGCAAUACGGAUGCAAGCGACACCAAUGCCGUCUCAAUCCAACAAACCGGCUGCUGAAUGACCCAGUCACAGUCAUCUCGGCAUGUGUCGCAAUGGCGCACCAUGUGAAACGCUUGCUCCGUCGACAGACGUUGCGACAUCGGGCGUCAGUUGUGACAUGUGAUCGAAAUGUGCAAUACAGGCUUACCCCGCCA